rnacentral:rRNA from 1 species
GACGAGGGCGCGAGCGUUGUCCGGAUUUAUUGGGCGUAAAGAGCUCGUAGGCGGUUUGUCGCGUCGUUCGUGAAAACUCACAGCUUAACUGUGAGCUUGCGGUCGAUACGGGCAGGCUAGAGUUCGGUAGGGGAGACUGAAUUCCUGGUGUAGCGGUGAAAUGCGCAGAUAUCAGGAGGAACACCGGUGGCGAAGGCGGGUCUCUGGGCCGUAACUGACGCUGAGGAGCGAAAGCGUGGGGAGCGAACAGGG